GACGAACGCUGGCGGCGUGCUUAACACAUGCAAGUCGAACGGAAAGGCCCUGCUUUUGUGGGGUGCUCGAGUGGCGAACGGGUGAGUAACACGUGAGUAACCUGCCCUUGACUUUGGGAUAACUUAAGGAAACUGGGGCUAAUACCGGAUAGGAGCUCCUGCUGCAUGGUGGGGGUUGGAAAGUUUCGGCGGUUGGGGAUGGACUCGCGGCUUAUCAGCUUGUUGGUGGGGUAGUGGCUUACCAAGGCUUUGACGGGUAGCCGGCCUGAGAGGGUGACCGGCCACAUUGGGACUGAGAGACGGCCCAGACUGCUACGGGAGGCAGCAGUGGGGAAUAUUGCACAAUGGGCGGAAGCCUGAUGCAGCAACGCCGCGUGCGGGAUGACGGCCUUCGGGUUGUAAACCGCUUUCGCCUGUGACGAAGCGUGAGUGACGGUAAUGGGUAAAGAAGCACCGGCUAACUACGUG
rnacentral:rRNA from 1 species